rnacentral:rRNA from 1 species
CCGAAUAGGGGAGCCGAAGGGAAACCGAGUCUUAACUGGGCGUUAAGUUGCAGGGUAUAGACCCGAAACCCGGUGAUCUAGCCAUGGGCAGGUUGAAGGUUGGGUAACACUAACUGGAGGACCGAACCGACUAAUGUUGAAAAAUUAGCGGAUGACUUGUGGCUGGGGGUGAAAGGCCAAUCAAACCGGGAGAUAGCUGGUUCUCCCCGAAAGCUAUUUAGGUAGCGCCUCGUGAAUUCAUCUCCGGGGGUAGAGCACUGUUUCGGCAAGGGGGUCAUCCCGACUUACCAACCCGAUGCAAACUGCGAAUACCGGAGAAUGUUAUCACGGGAGACACACGGCGGGUGCUAACGUCCGUCGUGAAGAGGGAAACAACCCAGACCGCCAGCUAAGGUCCCAAAGUCAUGGUUAAGUGGGAAACGAUGUGGGAAGGCCCAGACAGCCAGGAUGUUGGCUUAGAAGCAGCCAUCAUUUAAAGAAAGCGUAAUAGCUCACUGGUCGAGUCGGCCUGCGCGGAAGAUGUAACGGGGCUAAACCAUGCACCGAAGCUGCGGCAGCGACACUAUGUGUUGUUGGGUAGGGGAGCGUUCUGUAAGCCUGUGAAGGUGGCCUGUGAGGGUUGCUGGAGGUAUCAGAAGUGCGAAUGCUGACAUAAGUAACGAUAAAGCGGGUGAAAAGCCCGCUCGCCGGAAGACCAAGGGUUCCUGUCCAACGUUAAUCGGGGCAGGGUGAGUCGACCCCUAAGGCGAGGCCGAAAGGCGUAGUCGAUGGGAAACAGGUUAAUAUUCCUGUACUUGGUGUUACUGCGAAGGGGGGACGGAGAAGGCUAUGUUGGCCGGGCGACGGUUGUCCCGGUUUAAGCGUGUAGGCUGGUUUUCCAGGCAAAUCCGGAAAACCAAGGCUGAGGCGUGAUGACGAGGCACUACGGUGCUGAAGCGACAAAUGCCCUGCUUCCAGGAAAAGCCUCUAAGCAUCAGGUAACAUCAAAUCGUACCCCAAACCGACACAGGUGGUCAGGUAGAGAAUACCAAGGCGCUUGAGAGAACUCGGGUGAAGGAACUAGGCAAAAUGGUGCCGUAACUUCGGGAGAAGGCACGCUGAUAUGUAGGUGAAGCGACUUGCUCGUGGAGCUGAAAUCAGUCGAAGAUACCAGCUGGCUGCAACUGUUUAUUAAAAACACAGCACUGUGCAAACACGAAAGUGGACGUAUACGGUGUGACGCCUGCCCGGUGCCGGAAGGUUAAUUGAUGGGGUUAGCGGUAACGCGAAGCUCUUGAUCGAAGCCCCGGUAAACGGCGGCCGUAACUAUAACGGUCCUAAGGUAGCGAAAUUCCUUGUCGGGUAAGUUCCGACCUGCACGAAUGGCGUAAUGAUGGCCAGGCUGUCUCCACCCGAGACUCAGUGAAAUUGAACUCGCUGUGAAGAUGCAGUGUACCCGCGGCAAGACGGAAAGACCCCGUGAACCUUUACUAUAGCUUGACACUGAACAUUGAGCCUUGAUGUGUAGGAUAGGUGGGAGGCUUUGAAGUGUGGACGCCAGUCUGCAUGGAGCCGACCUUGAAAUACCACCCUUUAAUGUUUGAUGUUCUAACGUUGGCCCGUAAUCCGGGUUGCGGACAGUGUCUGGUGGGUAGUUUGACUGGGGCGGUCUCCUCCUAAAGAGUAACGGAGGAGCACGAAGGUUGGCUAAUCCUGGUCGGACAUCAGGAGGUUAGUGCAAUGGCAUAAGCCAGCUUGACUGCGAGCGUGACGGCGCGAGCAGGUGCGAAAGCAGGUCAUAGUGAUCCGGUGGUUCUGAAUGGAAGGGCCAUCGCUCAACGGAUAAAAGGUACUCCGGGGAUAACAGGCUGAUACCGCCCAAGAGUUCAUAUCGACGGCGGUGUUUGGCACCUCGAUGUCGGCUCAUCACAUCCUGGGGCUGAAGUAGGUCCCAAGGGUAUGGCUGUUCGCCAUUUAAAGUGGUACGCGAGCUGGGUUUAGAACGUCGUGAGACAGUUCGGUCCCUAUCUGCCGUGGGCGCUGGAGAACUGAGGGGGGCUGCUCCUAGUACGAGAGGACCGGAGUGGACGCAUCACUGGUGUUCGGGUUGUCAUGCCAAUGGCACUGCCCGGUAGCUAAAUGCGGAAGAGA